AGAAGUUAAGAAACUGUUUCUUAACUUUUAACUAAAAAACCUAGAACCGGUUCUUAAAUAAGGACUUUAAGAACCGGUUCCUAGUUUUUUAGUUAAAAGUUAAGAAACAGUUUAUUAACUUAC
rfam:Brassica napus, WGS project CCCW01000000 data, contig: 14196